UACGUAGGGGGCUAGCGUUAUCCGGAAUUACUGGGCGUAAAGGGUGCGUAGGCGGUCUUUCAAGCCAGAAGUGAAAGGCUACGGCUCAACCGUAGUAAGCCUUUGAAACUGGGAAACUUGAGUGCAGGAGAGGAGAGUGGAAUUCCUAGUGUAGCAGUGAAAUGCGUAGAUAUUAGGAGGAACACCAGUUGCGAAGGCGGCUCUCUGGACUGUAACUGACACUGAGGCACGAAAGCGUGGGGAGCAAACAGGAUUAGAUACCCUGGUAGUCCCU
rnacentral:rRNA from 1 species